GGGCGUUUCUGUGCGCUGCUCUGGUUCGCCAGAAGCGGAUUAGUCCUGCUGGCCACAUGACCCGGAAGCUGUACACCGGCUCCCUCAGCCAGUAAAGCGAGAUGAGAAACCGCAACCCCAGAGUCGUUCGUGACUGGACCCUAACGGUCAGGGGUCCCUUUUUAAGGAGUCUCACAGCGGCCAACAAUCUCCUUUCCCUUCCUCCCCCGCAACAAACACUCUGUGAGGUGAGUGAGGCCGAGAGACUUCAGAGAAGUGUGACUAGCCCAAGGUCACCCAGCAGCUGUAUGUGGAGGAGUGGGGAAGCGAACCCACUUCACCAGAUUACAAGUCCACCGCUCUUAACCACUACACCACACUGGCGCUGUGGAUGCAGCAAUGACCUGCAAAUGAAAAACAAAACAAAACUCUGCUUCUGUGGAUGCCAGGAAGAGACCAUCCGUUCCCAGCAAGUAGAGCUGAGUUUACAUGACACAAACGGGAAAUGGCCGUGCAGUUAUUCGCUUGUGGGGAAUGGCCUCCUCUUCCUUCUCUAUCAUGAAGCAGCGAACAUCAAAAUAGAUUAGAAAUGAGGCUAUGGAACAAAAAUGGAGGGAAGCCUUAACACACAGGGCUUUUGUCAUGCACCUCUUUACUGUACCCUUUGACACCAUACAGAGCCGGCCCUGGGAUUUUCCUGAACCCUCCUUUUAAUAAAAAGGUAAAGGGACCCCUGACCAUUAGGUCCAGUCGUGGCCAACUCUGGGGUUGCGAUGCUCACCUCGCUUUAUUGGCCGAGGGAGCUGGCAUACAGCUUCCGGGUCAUGUGGCCAGCAUGACUAAGCCGCUUCUGGUGAAACCAGAGCAGCACAUGGAAACGCCGUUUACCUUCCCACCGGAGCGGUACCUAUUUAUCUACUUGCACUUUGACGUGCUUUCGAACUGCUAGGUUGGCAGGAGCAGGGACCGAGCAACAGGAGCUCACCCUGUCGCUGGGAUUCGAACCACCGACCUUCUGAUCGGCAAGUCCUAGGCUCUGUGGUUUACCCCACAGCACCACCCGCAUCCCUUUUAAUACGCCAUCCCUAAUCCUAACGUCCUUCCCUACCAGAACAUCAGGACAGUCCUUAAACGGGUAGGAUAAAUAAAAGAUGACGUCCAUUGCAUCCUUUUUAGCAAGGGAAGCUAUUGGCACGUUCCCGUUAAUUGCCAUUUUGCUGCGCUGGGAGUUCCGGCGUGCAUUUUGAAAGGACCAUUAACCUUUCCUGUUCCUCUUUUGCAUCGCAUCUCGGGGCUAGGCCAGCUUCAAGGCAAACAUUAUGAGCCUCUCCGUUACUCCUUCUCAAAGGCCUUUACGAUGCCCUGUUCGUUUUCAAAUGAGCUGACGUUUACGCCCAAGCGCUUCCUGCCUCGCUGGUAAUUGGCGUCUGGUUGCUACAUUCUCCGCAGGCACACUUAAAACUCCAGCCACGAAUUCAAACUCGCUGUGAUGGCAGAAGUUCUGUGUGUGUCCAAACUGCCCCAAUAACACAGAAAGAUGGGGGUGGGGGCGAGUAGAGCAUGAGAUUCUUAAUCUCAGGGUCGUGCGUUCAAGCCCCACGUUGGGCAAAAGAUUCCUGCAUUUUUUAGGGACCAUGAGGGUCUUGAAGAUAAGAUGGUGUGAUGACCUGGGACUCGGGCUCAAACUCUGAACCAGAGGAGUCUCAGUCUGCACCGGAUCCUUUGCCUCAGGCAUCACCUGAACCAAGUCUGGGGCCUGAUCUGGAAGAGUCCCAGUCUGCACAGGUUGCCCUGCAACAAACACCAGCUGGGCCGAGUCAGGGGCCUGAGCCUGCCCUGGCUCCAGAUGCGGGGAUUACCUCGUUGCCUCCAGCUGGGCCAUCACUUACAGCUGCUCCACUACCGGUUGGGUCAGGGGAGGCUGAGGCGGCCCCUGGGUCUAGUAACCCACCGAUGUCUCCCGAGCUGCAGAGACUAAGGUCUGAGAGAAGGAGAGACCUGAGUACAGUGGUACCUUGGGUUACAUAUGCUUCAGGUUACAGACUCUGCUAUCCCAGAAAUAGUACCUCGGGUUAAGAACUUUGCUUCAGGAUGAGAACAGAAAUCAUGCUCCGGCGGCACGGCAGCAGUGGGAGGCCCCAUUAGCUAAAGUGGUGCUUCAGGUUAAGAACAGUUUCAGGUUAAGAACGGACCUCCGGAACGAAUUAAGUACUUAACCAGAGGUACCAUUGUACUUGCAGGAGGAGUGCUCACCUUCGGGCAAAACAGGGAGGUGAGUCGCAGGGGGAUCAGGACCGGCCGCUACCCCGACAAAGAUAAAAGGCUGUCAGACCCCGUCUGUAUGCUAGAACCUGCCAGAGAUCCUGUACCUGUCCUUGCCUGGAUUCCUGCCUCGUGUCCUGCCUUGGCCCUUUCGGACUGACUCCCAGCGGAACCUCCGGAUUCUGGACCAGUCCUGGACCGCGUUUCAUGGGUUACCCCUGGCCCCAGCAUACCACCACUGCCUGGGCUCUGAGCCUUCUUCCCUUGGGGGUUUCCCAGCUGGUUCCCCCCACCCUUCUUCUGUGCCCAGCCAGGCCAUGGCAAUUCCACUCGCAGGACCUGUAUGUGUUUUAGCAAGUGCCAUCUUACAUGAGGUGUUCCCUCCUGCAUGAGAAGGAAAUGUGCAGAAUAGUGUAAUUAUAUCGUUUUGUCACUAAAGUAGUGAUGGAUUUAAUGAACUUGGGAGACUCCCAUUUCUGCAAUAAUGCAAUAGCACUGGGGAAGCAUUGCAGACCCACUCAUAAUGUGGAAGGUCCACCGCUUAAUAAGAAUUAAUAAAUACACUACUAAUGC